CUACGGGUGGCACCAGUGAGGAAUAUUGCACAAUGGGGGGAACCCUGAUGCAGCAACGCCGCGUGGAGGAUGACGCAUUUCGGUGUGUAAACUCCUUUUAUAUGUCAAGAAAAUGACGGUAGCAUAUGAAUAAGCACCGGCUAACUCCGUGCCAGCAGCCGCGGUAAUACGGAGGGUGCAAGCGUUAUUCGGAAUCACUGGGCGUAAAGGACGCGUAGGCGGGUUGGAAAGUCAGGUGUGAAAUCCUACGGCUUAACUGUAGAACUGCACUUGAAACUUGUAAUCUAGAGUAUGGGAGGGGGAGAUGGAAUUAGUGGUGUAGGGGUAAAAUCCGUAGAUAUCACUAGGAAUACCUAAAGCGAAGGCGAUCUCCUGGAACAUUACUGACGCUAAGGCGUGAAAGCGUGGGGAGCAAACAGGAUUAGAUACCCUUGUAGUC
rnacentral:rRNA from 1 species